GCGGUAUUGAAAUCAUUUGAAGACAAUUCAAACAAUAGCGACACUGAUUAAUUUACUUUGUGAGGUUGAUUUAGAAUAACCUACUUGUUUCGUUGUAUUGCUUGUUGUUGUUUGUAUUUAUUGUUGUUUGAAAAGUUGGAGAUAAAUGAAAGAUUUGAGAGAAUAGAUUACUGUAUUACAAAAUUACAUUGUUUAGCAAACACUUCGCACGACGAGAAGAAAUAUGGGAAAGAGAGUUUAAAUGUCAAAUUAUUGUCUUAUAUAGCUAACGUUCUGUCACACCACUGAUUGUCUAUUGCACUCACAGUUUAUAAACACUUCACACCGAUGACCGGUAAAUUAAGUGCGGACCACACGAUGUGAACCAAGAGUUGCAACGCAAGAUGUGAGACGUUCCUUAACAUACUCCCCCCGUUGAAGAAUCCAGAUUCUUCAACUCUGUGUCUUCAUCGUUGUAUGAUUUGCUUGAGACGUGCGUAGCGUUUUAAUUGUGGUUCCCUCAUGUUUCGUUGUAUUGCUUGUUGCUUGUAUUUUUAAUAUGAUGUUUUACCGGUCACACCGGCCUCCCAUAUGUCGCCGAAGUGAGGAGCGUAAGACAGAAUGAAUUUAAAUUUUGAUGCUUUGCUGAGCUGUAAAUUCAGUUAACGCGAUGUUUUGUAUAUCGGUGAAUUUACUGAGCUCUCUUGCCGCUCCUACAAAAUUGCGUUUGCUACCGGAAUAGAUCUCUGCUGGCCUAAACUUUGAUAUUCUCUUAUGAAAUGUAUGUAUUGAGAUUUUAAUGAAGUAUAUUUUUUGAAACGUUUUUCUAAAUUGAAUAAUCGCCUUUUUGCUAAGUUAUAUGUUUCACCUAGACAAUCAGGUGAAUUGCGUAGUGGAAGUCUGACACUAGACCUGCCAGAAGGAAGCCGUGAAGUGUGAGACCGAAAGUGGUUCUCACAGGCUAAUUCCUUUUCGCUUAGAAUAGUUUUUUGGUGAAGCUCUUCUAGCUUCCUAAAUUUUGCUAGUAAAUUGUUAAUUUUGUUUUUCUUUGGGAGGUUAUCAUUGAUAACUGAAUGAUUGCAAAUUACUUGUUUAGCUUGAUAUGAAAUAGGACCACCAAUCAACCAACCGAAACUGGAAUAUUGUAAUGUAGGCUUGUUUGCACCUAAAGAAAUACGUUCGUUUUUUAAGAGUUGCCAGAAAAGAUCGGCUCCUAUUAGUAUAUCAAUAGGAGCUGGCUGAUUGAAAUCGGGGUCAGCUAAAUGCAAGUGCGAUGGUAUGUUUAAUUGUUGUAUAAUAAAACUUGAUUUGAAUUUUUGUUUGAAAAGUUUACUACAGUUUCAGAGACCUCGCCAGAGGCACUGUUGACCUUUGGUGCGUCAACUGGAUGCAAUAGAGUAUUGUGUCGUUUCUUACACAUUUUGCAUGGCCCUAAUCGACAUUCGACUAAAGAGUGACCCUGCCUUAAACAAUUAAUACAUAAUUUGUACUUUGAAAUAUCGUUUAGUUUGUCCUUUCUGGACUUUGAUUUGAAUAAUUGGCAAUCAUAAAUCCUAUGAUUUUGAUUGCAGACAACACACCUAGACAAAGUGCUAUUGUCGUUUUGAUUAGUAGUAAUAAAUGAAUUUGAAAUUGGUCGAUCACGCUUAAUAUGAUGAUUAUAAUGAUAAUUGACAGGCCUUGAAUGUUGCAUUUUGCUAUUGUUAUUUGUUGAUAUGUUAUUAUGGAAACUAGAACCUUGAUCAUUCUUAUUGUGACGCGUACAUUCAAGAACAUAAGCCCUAUCAAUCAAAAAUUUAUUGAAUUCAGUUAAACUAGGGAUUUCACCUAAACUAUUGCGUUGCUCUUCCCAUUUAACCAGUGUUUGCGUAUCGAGUUUAGAUGAAACCAAAUGUAUAAUUAACGUGUCCCAGUGAUCAGUAGGUUGACCUAGGUUAGCCAAAGCGCGUAAAUUUUUUGAAACAUGAUCGACUAAAGAGCGUAAUGAAGUGUCCGAUUCGCGGUUUAUUUUUUCAAUAUUGAAUAAUGAUUUAAUAUGAUAAUUUACAAGUAAUCUUUUAUUAUUGUAACGUUCAUAAAGUAACUGAUAAGCGCUAUUAUAGUUGGCUGCGGAAACCUCAAUGUUUGAAAUUACCCGAGCUGCAUCGCCUUCCAAAUAAGAAAUUAAAUAAUGAAACUUUUGAAUUAAUGAAAUGCGGCUAUUGUUGUGAACUAAAUUAUUAAAAGUAUCUCGAAAUUCUAACCAACGGAAGAACGAACCAUCAAACUUAGCAAUUUGUAUUUGCGGCAAGGUUAUACAAUUUUCAUUAUUAUGAUCGCGACCACAUUGAGCAUCCUGGAAUAAGGACUCACGGCGUCUCUUAUCCUGUUCUAAAUUCUUUAAUUCAUUUUGUUCUUCAAUGAUAUUUUUUGCCAUCGCGGUACAUAAUAUGAAAUCUUGCUCAAUGCGUUCACGCUCAUCGAGCUCUUCGUCUAAAUUGUCAGAAUUUAUUAGUUCAAUUUGAGUUUGCAGCUCAUCGUAUUUAGCGGACAGAUUCUCAAAGCGACUGAGCUUCAGUGAAAGCUCAGCGACUUCGAUACCCGUCAGUUGAGAUUGCCUUGUAAUCUUGUCUAAAUAGUUUUUGAAUUUAGUAAUUUGUCCCUUUAUGGAACUGCGCUUUACAAUUAAAACCUUUAUCCCGGAUUCUUUGUUCAUAGUUGAUACUGAAGGUUCGGACAUUGUGAAAAAUAUAGAUAGAAAAUAUUUUAUGUAAUUAUUGAAAAUAGAAAACUGUAUGAACUAGAAUAAUACUAAAAUUAUUUGUAUAUGAAUAAUAUUAAAGUUAUUUGUAUUUGUAUAUGAAUAUGAACUGGAUUAAUACUAAAGUAAUUUGAAUUUGAAUAUGAAUAUGAACUAGAAUAAUAUAAACUACAAUUGAAUUUAAGUGAAUUAAUUACAAGACACCUCAAAAAAGAAAGAAAAUAAAAUAAAAUGAAAUGAUGCAAAUGUCUUAGCUGAAGCUCCUCAAUCGACGACACAUAGAAGACCGGCGCGGAGCGGCAAGACAAGAUGGCAGAAGCCCCAACCACGUUGGUGCGCUUCAUGUACCGCAACGCUGAAAUAGUCGGCCAAAUCGUCUAAGCAUCGCACAAUAAAUAGGAUUGAGGCUCAAUAUUGCCUUUAGAAUUGAAUUAAUUUUGAAAUGAAUUGAACCAACUUUGAAAUGAAUUGAAUUAUGUUGAUAAGUUAAUGUUGUAUCAAGUAAGGGAAUUUAGAUAAAGUUAAAUGUAAUUAAAUUGAAUUAAGUGUUGUAUAAACAUUUGUAUUAUUGUAGUUGUAUAAAAAAUUUGAUGCUG
rnacentral:misc_RNA from 1 species